AUAUUAUUAAGCGGAGGAAAAGAAACUAACCAGGAUUCCCUCAGUAGCGGCGAGUGAAGCGGGAACAGCUCAAAUUUAAAAUCUGGGGUGCAUUAGUGCCUCCGAAUUGUAGUUUUGGGAAGCAACAUCACGGGCAUCGCCUCGAGUAUAAAUCUUUUGGAACAAGGUAUCACAGAGGGUGACAAUCCCGUGUGUGACUCGAUGGUGUGUGUCGACACGUGUUGGUGUUUCGAAGAGUCGGGUUGCUUGGGACUGCAGCUCUAAGUGGGUGGUAAGCUUCAUCUAAAGCUAAAUACGGGCGAGAGACCGAUAGCGAACAAGUACCGUGAGG
rnacentral:rRNA from 1 species